rnacentral:lncRNA from 1 species
GUAUCUAGCUGUAGAGAGUGUAGCUUAAACCUUUAUAUAAAUCUUGUGUUAGCCUCCCAAAACUCCUUUAUUUUGCAUAAAACUCAAAAUAUAAUAAAAUCCCUUCAAAACAUAUUUUUCCUGCAAAGGGUUUUCUUGUCUUGAACUUUAGAAAAUCAUAACUCUUGAUUUAACCAUUCAAUUUGUUUCAAAUUUAUAAAAUAGGUAGAAU